GUUUCUUCAAGAAGCCCUGAUGCAAGUAAAAGCACUUUAAUCCAAGCCCAGCAGUAUCUGAUUGACCAUCUGAAGGAGCUCUGUUGAAACAUUUUGGAGGUGGGGCACAACCAACGCAACCAGGCCCAAGUGCCAGUGUUACAGCUGAUGAUACAGCAGAUCCAGCCUCUGCAGGUGAGGAGCACUUACUAGCAUCUGCAUCCACGGAUCCUGCUGUUCCUUCCAUGUCUGUUUCAACCUCCGCAGAUGUAGCAGGUCAUUCUACUUGUGGUCAUUGGGAUCUAUCACAUCUACUCCUUCAACUUUCAGCCUACACUAUGGAUCAGAAGCUCCUCCAUUUGACCCAGCUGAGUGGUCAUCUAUCCUGUCUUAGUCAGAAAGGACUGAUCUGGUAAGCAGAGGGUCACUGCCUAAAAAGGAAAACUUCACAUUCCCUAAAUCUGAUGGUCGAAGCUUCCACUACACCUACAGGCAAUUAAUUAAUGGGGGGGGGGGGAAA